rnacentral:sRNA from 1 species
GACGCACGGCGGCUCAAAUUCCUGAGGCGGCCCGAUACGAAAAUUAUCAUCAGGCGUGCGCGACUGGCU